rnacentral:rRNA from 1 species
CACGUAGGGGCCAAGCGUUGUCCGGAUUUAUUGGGCGUAAAGAGCUCGUAGGCGGCUCGGUAAGUCGGGUGUGAAACCUCCAGGCUCAACCUGGAGACGCCACUCGAUACUGCUGUGGCUAGAGUCCGGUAGGGGAGCGUGGAAUUCCUGGUGUAGCGGUGAAAUGCGCAGAUAUCAGGAGGAACACCAGCGGCGAAGGCGGCGCUCUGGGCCGGAACUGACGCUGAGGAGCGAAAGCGUGGGUAGCAAACAGG